rnacentral:rRNA from 1 species
UACAGAGGUCUCAAGCGUUGUUCGGAUUCAUUGGGCGUAAAGGGUGCGUAGGUGGCGCCAUAAGUCGGGUGUGAAAUCUCGGAGCUUAACUCCGAAACUGCAUUCGAUACUGUGGUGCUUGAGGACUGGAGAGGAGACUGGAAUUUACGGUGUAGCGGUGAAAUGCGUAGAGAUCGUAAGGAAGACCAGUGGCGAAGGCGGGUCUCUGGACAGUUCCUGACACUGAGACACGAAGGCCAGGGGAGCAAACGGG